rnacentral:sRNA from 1 species
GUAUCUGAAGCCUGACGAGGAUGAGAACCUCCGGGGGCAAGAGGUUCGACUCGAGCGAAGCGAGAGAACGUUGCGUCAGCAACGGCCCGCAGUGGCAAGUCAUACUCUGUCACCGGCAG